rnacentral:tRNA from 1 species
GGUGGCUCAGUGGUAGAGCGCUUGCCUUGUAUGCGCGAUGCCCUGGGUUCGAUUCCUCAGCACCA